UAGCCUUGACAUUGAUUGAAUUUUCCAGAGAUGGAGAAGUGCCUUUCGGGGAACAUGAAAACAGGUGCUGCACGGCUGUCGUCAGCUCGUGUCGUGAGAUGUUGGGUUAAGUCCCGCAACGAGCGCAACCCUCGUCGUUAGUUGCUAACAGGUUAAGCUGAGCACUCUAGCGAGACUGCCUUCGCAAGGAGGAGGAAGGCGGGGACGACGUCAAGUCAUCAUGGCCCUUACGACCAGGGCUACACACGUGCUACAAUGGGAAGGACAAAGGGUUGCUAAGCCGCGAGGUGGUGCUAAUCUCAUAAACCUUUUCGUAGUCCGGAUCGGAGUCUGCAACUCGACUCCGUGAAGUCGGAAUCGCUAGUAAUCGUAGAUCAGAACGCUACGGUGAAUACGUUCCCGGGUCU
rnacentral:rRNA from 1 species